AACGAACGCUGGCGGCAUGCCUAACACAUGCAAGUCGAACGAGACCUCCGGGUCUAGUGGCUCACGGGUGCGUAACGCGUGGGAACCUGCCCUUAGGUUCGGAAUUACUCUUCGAAAGGGGUGCUAAUACCGGAUAAUGUCUUCGGAUCAAAGAUUUAUCGCCUUUGGAUGGGCCCGCGUUGGUUUAGCUUGUUGGUAGGGUAAAAGCCUACCACGGCGACGAUCCAUAGCUGGUCGGAGAGGAUGAUCAGCCACACUGGGACUGAGACACGGCCCAGACUCCUGGGGGAGGCAGGAGAGGGGGAUAUUGGACAAUGGGCGAGAGCCUGAUCCAGCAAGGCCGCGUGAGUGAUGAAGGCCUUAGGGUUGUAAAGCUCUUUUACCCGGGAUGAUAAUGACGGUACCGAGAGAAUAAGCACCGGCUAACUCCGUG
rnacentral:rRNA from 1 species